rnacentral:rRNA from 1 species
AACGUAGGACACAAGCGUUAUCCGGAGUUACUGGGCGUAAAGGGCGUGUAGGCGGAGAUGUAAGUCUAUUCUGAAAGCUCCUGGCUAAACUGGGAGAGGCGAAUGGAGACUGCAUAUCUAGAGUGAGGAAGAGGAAAGUGGAAUUCCGCGUGUAGUGGUGAAAUGCGUAGAGAUGCGGAGGAACACCAGUGGCGAAGGCGGGUCUCUGGGCCGAGUACUGACGCUGAGGAG